rnacentral:rRNA from 1 species
CAGCAGCCACGGGAAUACGUAGGGGGCAAGCGUUGUCCGGAAUCAUUGGGCGUAAAGAGCGUGUAGGCGGCUCGGUAAGUCCGCUGUGAAAGUCCAGGGCUCAACCCUGGAAUGCCGGUGGAAACUGUCGAGCUAGAGUCCGGAAGAGGCGAGUGGAAUUCCUGGUGUAGCGGUGAAAUGCGCAGAUAUCAGGAGGAACACCAAUGGCGAAGGCAGCUCGCUGGGACGGUACUGACGCUGAGACGCGAAAGCGUGGGGAGCAAAUGGGAUUAGAUACCCCAGUAGUCCCUGUCUCUUAUAU